UUAAGAGAAAGAAGAAGAAACAGAGUGGAAGGGCGGAGGUGGAGAUGGUAGAGGAGACACUGGAGAAGCCCUAUCUGGAGAAGCCGUGUCCUCCUUACAACAGGCCUGACCUGUGGGAACUUACAAAUCCUCCACAGCCUCCUUACAUGGGCCUGACACGUGGGAACUGUCCCUUUGCAGAUGAAAAUCACUCAGAUGGUGAAGCCAGGCCCAGUGCCCAAGAACAAAGACUGCGGAACAACCUCUGCUGGAAGCUAGAAUGAUUGCGCACAUCCCCUGUCUCCAUUGUCUUUUGACACAGAGCCUCUUACCAGCCUGGAGUUGGGCAGGUUAGGUGGCCAGUGGGCUCCAGGAAUCUUCCCAACUCUGCCUUCUAGCACUGGGAUUACACGUGUGUGCCAGCACAGCUGGGUUUUAACGCUUGCGUUCUGGGGACUAAUCUCAGGGCCUCCUGUUUGUGUAGCACCUUGCGAGUUGAGCAAUCUCCCUAAGCCCAACAAAGGUUUUAUAACCAAAACGCACUUGGCACUACAGCCUCCUACAUAUGAGGGUUAUAAAUGUCUAGUAAAUGUCCCCAGCAAUAGCUUUUAUUACUUCACUGAAGAGGAGGGAAUUCAUAGGUAACAUUUACUUUCACAGUGAAAAGAUAGAGAAUGUAUUUUGUGACCCAGGCCAUGGUGGGAGAAAACCCGGUACCACAUGGCCUGCAACCAUUCAAACAGGCUACACCACCAGUCGGCCAGCCAGGCAAUGCGCACCUGGAGGGUGAUAUCACCACCUCUUAGCACUUCGCACAAAGAGACAGUCAGUGCUGGUGCUGGUGCGUGCUGACGUUCCAUGGGACCGUUAGGUGUGAUCCUCAAGCUGUAAUAGUAGCAGAAUUCACACGUUAAAGGUGCCCAGCAUCCCUCUGUCCAUUUCUGUUUCUGAUGGAAACACACACCCGCAUCACUUAGCGGGGGUGAGUAAAUCAGAAGCAAGUUUCUUGGUCACUGAGAGACCUGAAAAGACUCAAGGAGAGAGAAAAAAACAAAACAAAACAACAACAAAAACAGAAAACAAAAAACCUAAUCUCUAGCAUGUGAGCCCUUGCAAGUGACAACGAGGACCAUGACCCCCAAGUACAUCAUUGAGACUUAUGGAAAUCAAAUGUAAAAGAACACGAUGUUUCACCACAAGGAUCUAUUGUAAGUAACCAAGGUAGACUAAGCACAAACCACGCAAGAGGGAAGUGGCCUGUAUGAUAAAAAAACACCUGCAUAACACGAUGCAGCCAGGAGGGAGGUGAGCUCUAAGGUGCAUCCUCAACAGAGUUGAGUGGGGAAAGUGGCCGGUGACAGAGAGCACGAGAACAGCCACGAGCAAGCGCAGCACAUGCUCGCACUCGUGGCACUGACUGGAGGACACUUGCCAGGCUGUUCUGUGUGGUAUUCAAUUCUGGGCAACUGUAAUUUUCUUCUCACUCUUGUGUGUCCCCCAGGUCCUCACAGUAAUGGUGGAUUCUUCCCCCAUACCCAACAAGCAGUGAAGUUUAUAUUUAAAAGUUCUAGAAGUGAGAUGAUUUCCCAUUGCAUGUGACACAUCUUCGGAGAAAAAUCAUAUUUCUGGUGAAUAUUUGAAUUCUGAGUAGUUUAAAAGUUCUAGAAGUGAGAUGAUUUCCCAUUGCAUGUGAGACAUCUUCCGAGAAAAAUCAUAUUUCUGGUGAAUAUUUGAAUUCUGGGUAGUUUCUUUUGCUGGCAAACAUAAUUAUUAUCAAUUAAACCAAUAUUGGGCUUAACACAAGCAAAAAUUAAUGUUAAUGACAAUUGGUAAGGGAGAUUUUUUUUUUUCAAGUGCUGGGGAUCAAAUCCACAGCUUGGAUUAUGUUCUAUAAUCCUCUGCCAUUAAGCUAUACCCUCACCCCAAGAAGACAGUAAUCACUGGAAGUGGGUAAGGUGGCACACUAGUUAUCUCCGCACUCAGGAAGCUGAGGUAAGAGGACUGACCACCCGGAUCACAUGUUGAAGGCCAGCCAGCAUGUGUAAGACCUUGCUUCACAGUGAAAUCAAAUCAAAUCUCAAGGAGUGGGCUGUAGCACACUGGCUUAUCAGGCGUGCUCAAGGCCCAAGUUCAAUCUCCAGGACAAAACGAAACAAAGAAAACAACUUUUAAUUGUCUGAACACCUUCUCUUUCCAUGUUGUUCUAAGUGUUUUUCACAUGUAUUAUUUUUCCCAAUGUUCUACACCAGAGCCAGUCAUGUUCCCAUGGAUGGAGGAGGGCCAGUUACUCAGAUUCUGUUACACAAGAGGUCCUGUGGGUUGUCUCCAAGGUUUUAGAGUCUUUGAGAAUAAUAGACAUCCACACUAAGUAGUGAUUAGCCUCUUACCUAUUCCCUAUUUGCUCUGGCUGACCUGCCUGCAUAACCUGUUUUACUUCCUUAUUUACAAAAUUUUCAUCACCUUAAAGACAAACAGAGUCAGGUGCCUCAAUUGUGAUCUGAUGCCUUAAUUUUGUUUUGGAUUUUACUGUGUUAAAACAAAACGGGAAUCUCUUUUCAGAAAAGGAACACCUUCCCCAACAGUAGAACUGCUUAAAAGAUACUUAGGUGCAGCCUUACAAGAUAUGGCUUUUCUACCUAUUUAUCCAGGAUACCUAAGUCACCACCCAAAACACAUCAUUACGUAAUAGAAUUUCACUUUACACGCAUUAAAGGAAGGUACACGGGGCCGCACCAAAGAGUAGAGACCUAUGCCCUUCCAUUUCUCAGAAACACAGGUGGACAUCUUAAAUGUCUCAGGGAGACAGUGGUCCUCAGACUCUGAAUUCUUCAUCUGUGAAAGGUAAGCAGCCACAAAAAGCAAAACUUCAUUCGUCAAGACCCCAAAAAGGCUAAGUGAGUCAGAAGCUAACAGCCUCUGCAAGGCGGGAUGCUUUCAAUGAAUAUUCAAGACUUGCUUUAAAAAUCGCAGAAUCUCAGCAUCACUAGGAAAACAUUGUGUGGGGAGCACAGACAACUUGCCUUCAACGCGGCCUAGGAGAUGUUACGGGCACCCACUGCCCAGAACGGAAAGGCAACAGGAGUCUUACCCGAUGCUCUCUUCCUCCCUUCCACAGCUCUGCUUAAACCUGGCUCAACCACAGAACAGGGAAAUGCAAACUUGCUCCUUGGCCCUUAACACCUGUUUUCAUUCCAAAUAAUGGUCUCUCGGAUUUCUAUCAUCACUAACCUGUCUAAUGCCAUGAUCUUAUAUAACAAGACUCAAUUUCAUAAAUGUAAACUCAAAACCUAGGGGGCAGGACUAGGGGGAAAAAAAAGGUUCAAAAUAUCUAGGCAAUGAGGCUUAUAAUCCUGUGGGCAGACGCCAGCUCGGGACCCAAGCCCUGCUGCUGUUUAGAUGGCCUCCCUGUGGGAUUCCCACCUCUGGACCUCAGAUCAUUAUUUCCGGAAGACAGAGUUCACAUUGCACAAGUGACCUUCAAACUGUGUUCGUGACUAGAAAGAUAAUUUUUCUACUAUUCUCCUAUUUCACGAUCACCUUCCGGAGUUACAUCUCACCUAAAGCACACCCCAAACACCCAACUACACAGGACACCGCAGAGGGGGAACCACAGCUCAAGUCUGGCCGCGGCUGCAGUUUCCAAAUGAGCAGGGAAACUCAUCCUGGUUUGUGUUAAAAAAAAAAACACUCUUUUUUUUUUUUCCUAGUUGUGGUUUCUGGAGAGAUUCUCAUGGUCACCCAGGCUGGCCUCUCUAAUUCUUGGGAACUCUCCUGCCUGAGAUUACAGGCAUGCAUGCACACUACACUAGUCAAUGCUUUAAAUCACUGUCAGCUGCAAUCAGACACUGCUUGUCUCUCCUUUACCUGUGAGGAAUCUAAGGCACAGAGAAGGCAGGCAGCAGAGCAGGAGCAGCCAACCACAGCACGUGCUCCCUCAACAGAAAAGCAGAGCCACGAGGAUGGGUGAAUCCAGAGCCUGUGGAGACACAGCUCAUGGUGACAGAAAAUUCCAGAAAGGGAAGAAGGAUGCUCCUCCCACUUUUUUCAUUUGUAAAUUAGCAAAACAUAUUCUUCAGCUCACGGGCCUCGUGAAAUUUCUGGAACCUUGAGAUGUAGAAGGAAAGGAAGUCAGGAAAAGUAGGACACUCUGACCCUUGUAAAAAAUAUUUCUGUUUUAAGCCAAAGCAUGAGACAAACCAUGUAGACCUAACAACAUAGUUGAAACUGAAGGAAUCUAGAAAGAAGAACAACUGUGGCAGUAUGUUUGAGGUGUGUGUGGAAGUGGUAACCCAAACAGGAACAAGCAGUCAUGUUCAGUGCCUGCCGGUGCCCAGAGAUCCUAAAGGCAAUGCCACACUAGGGAAGGAAAGCCAAUGACCAAGACUGUGUGAAACAAGCAGUAGUACAUAAGUACAUAAGUAGUACAGCAAGCUACGAAAUGUCAAGUGUCAACACCAGGCAGAGUCUGAAUAUACCCAGAAGCCUGAUGAUCCCAGAAUUGCUCCAUCCAACAUGGUGAGACAUUCACACACAGUGAGAGCAGGGGUAAGAAAAGCAGGAAGGGGUCUUGGUCCCUCUAACCCUUAAGGUCAACAGGACCCAACCAUUCUCUGUGCUUCUCAAAGACUCUGACCUCUCCAUCAACGUCCUAGAAGACUGGUUCCCAGGGAGCCUCUCCAUUUUGCUCAAGAAGUGUUCUUCCCAAGUUAUCCUCAGAGACAGGGUACCAAAAACUUAGCCAGAGCAAAGGAACUUUCUUUCCAGCUUUUUUUUCCUACAGAGCAGCUUCUUGUUAGCCUUUCAGCUGAGCUCAAUAAGUCUGUGGGGUCCUCUCCCCACUCCUUCCCUGCCUCAUGAGAAUAAAUUAAGAGAAUCAA